rnacentral:rRNA from 1 species
GAUUAACGCUGGCGGCGUGCAUAACACAUGCAAGUCGAACGAAGUGGCGGACGGGUGAGUAACGCGUGAGUAACCUGCCUUAGAGAAGGGGAUAGCCUUUGGAAACGAAGAAUAAUACCCUAUGCUCUAAGAUGGGCUUGCGUCUGAGUCUUUAGUUGGUGGGGUAACGGCCCACCAAGACAGCGCUCAGAAGCCGGCUUGGAGGAGUGUACGGCCCCAUUGGGGCGGAGACACGGCGCAGACUUUACGGGAGGCAGCAGUGGGGAAUUAUGCACAAUGGGGGAAACCCUGAUGCAGCGACGCCGCGUGAUUUAGAAGGCCUUCGGGUUGUAAAAAUCUUUUCUAUGGGAAGCAGUACCAUAGGAAUAAGGACCGGCUAAUUACGUGCCAGCAGCCGCGGUAAUAC